GUGAUGGGUGAAUGGGAGCAGAGCGGGUCCCGAGGGGCGGCGGGGAAGGAGGGGCGCUGGCAGCGUCGCCUGCCAUCCCACGAGAUGGUUUAUUAGUCGCUAAUAAGGCGGCGAGGAGUGGGGAUGGGGAAGAAAGCGAAGAGACCGUCGCUGCUAUUGACCCGUUGUAAGGGUUGUGGUUCAUUUCCACUGAAGGGAAGCCCAGCACGUACGGCGGGAGCGUUUGUACCCAUCCGAGUAAAUAAAUAUGUUUACGGUGAAGGUACCGACUUUUGUAACACGGUGCCUUUACUACCCAGGGUUUUUCCAGUCCCUUACAUGGACACGCUUCAGAGGGUCAGGUGCCAGGCACGUACCUUGAGUGCAGACCCCCUCCGCAUGUUGCUGUGUGGCCGAAAGCUCUGUGAACAAGAACUGCCCAUUUUCUUGGUCUCUCUGCUGCUGCGUGCCACCGGCUCGCUGGAAGGGAUAGAGCUUGCGUGAGGAGACCUGGCUUGCUCUAAGGUAUAGCUCUUGUGUGAGGAGACCUUCGAGUAGUUCAUUAACCAGAGCAGUCAAGAAUAAGGCCAUAAAUCCAGCAGUAAGCUUUGCGUAGGCACGGUGGUCAGACACGUAAAGUCAGGUUGCUGUCUUUUUUAAAUACGGCGAUGAAGAGAUAAGUCCUGUAUUACUAAGACUGAGAGAGCAAUUUCCUUUUGGCAUAUGGGGUUCAACACUGACUGCCUCUGCCAAGUAAACGUUCUUCUGUAAUUACUUGCUCCUUUUGCUAGCAGUGAUGCUAGAUGUCAGAAGAGCUCUGCUCCUCGGCAAGGUGAGGUACGUUAACUCGCGUGGAGCCUGUUCUGCUGUAACUGGGCUGCUGAGCUAAAGAAGAAAAAGAACUCCGAAAGAAUUUGAACAAGCUGCUUCUGCAAGACAAACCGUUACAGGCAGAGGGAAUGCCACACCGGUGAAAUGACAGAUAUGGUCACACAUGCUAUUGAUGCUUGAGAUGAUGAAAGGAGUUUUACUUCACAAGACCCUGAACUUGCUACGCUCCUUGCUUUUACAAAGGGAGAAAUGGAAUUGCAUCAGAGCCACAAAAACUGCAGAUUGCUCAAAAAGGACAUAUUUUACCAAAGCACUUUCUAUGCCUAGUAGCAUAAUCUGUAGCGGUCUUACUGUUGACGGAUAUUUAUAUUCCUUCUGCAAUAGCACAACAUGAUUCUGAAUGUCGUGUGGAGCUUGACAAUAGGAUUGCGACUGAAGGAAAGAGAACUGGUUCUGAACUGUGUUCUGAAUUUCAAUCUGCACACAAUGAACUUUCACGUGAAGGCUGAGGGGAAAUGAGAAAUAACUUGCUUUUAUUAGCUGAGUUGAAUUUUAUGGAACAUUUUUUUAAUCUUUUAUUGAUUAGUGAUCAGUAUCACUGAGAUAACUCAUUUUUAAAAGAAUGUUUAAGUGAAUUUGUAGUAAUGAUGGUAGCAUAUAACCUGCUUUUAAGGCUCCAUUCUUGGAAUAAGAAAUGUUUCUGUUUAUUCAGCAUAAUGUUUUAAAUUGAUAUAUCACAGUUUUUUAAUUCCAUUUUUUUCCUCUGUCACUUGAGGUGUUCGAAAUGUGCAAUAUCUAUAUUACUUAUGUACAUUACCUUGAAAUACAUUUUAGCAUGCAGGAAAGUAUGUUUUCCAGAUAGAUGUAUUAGAUGUAUUGGUUCCAGUACCCCCAGAUACGCACCUGGCUUGCACCACUAUGGAUAAGGACGCUACUGCUUGAAAUAACUUCCUGUAUGUACCAUCUUUUCAUAUUCUACCCACUUUUAGCAAGAAUCUCUCCCUGGGAACAAAUGGUGGAAGGGCUGUUAAAAUCUCCUUAUGCUGUACAAUAUCACAGUUCCUCCGGCAUAACUGCUGCUGGGAUGAGCUCGGAGCCAAAUACGGUCAGCGUAACUGAGGAGAAAACGUUUAAGCUGCUCUCAUGCUAAGAAACAAGGUGCUUAGAAUUUGCCCUCCAGAGUGCAUAUGCACUCUUUCAUAGCCUCAUCACACUUGAGGCUCCCACCCCACCAGGAUGGGUUUUUUAUCCCGUUCUCCGCUUCCUCUUCCAGGACAAGACCCAUAUGUUGAGGUCGUGCUGCUCACCCACUCACAAAUGCGAAGAGCACAGGCUUGCUACCAAGAGAACCAAAAAGGACAAAUCAGCGAGUAUGUCUCGGAGGUGGAUGCGGUGUCCUUUUCCUUUUACUACGCACCACUAGGCAGGAUCAAAAUCCAACUUGUAUUUGCCUUCUGGGAACCUGCAGUACCCAGAGCUGUCAAAGCCACAUCCUCCACUGCCUUUCUGAAAGCCCUCUCUGCAGUGCAGAUGGUGGGCCAGGAAGGAAAAGGAAACCUCAUCUGCCACACAGGCCUUCAUUUUUGGAGUUGGGAAGAGCCUGAAAGCUCCUUGAUGGGUAGCUUGACAGACCUCCCCACUCAGCUGAGACGCUGGCCACGGCAAGGCUGUGGCCUUGAAGCACUUGAAGAAGCACUUCAGCUGGCGCUUUCCAGAGCCACUGGUUCUGACAAAUCUGGAGAGAAACAGAUUUGUCACCUCCCCGAUUUAUUUUAGUUUAUGAUUGAAGUGAAAGACGCUGAACUGUGAGGAACAUUGUACUCAUAGUGAUGAUAAACAUCACAAGUGCACGUGAGCAUGUAUUUUAUUAGAAAACUAUUGCUGUGCAUGUUCAUUCUUUGCUGACUGAUUCCUGUAGGCAAUAAACACUCUUCUAAAAUA